AUUGAACGCUAGCGGGAUGCCUUACACAUGCAAGUCGAACGGAGUGGCGAACGGGUGAGUAAUGUAUCGGAACGUGCCCAGUAGCGGGGGAUAACUACGCGAAAGCGUAGCUAAUACCGCAUACUAUUGGAGCGGCCUAGAUCGGAUUAGCUAGUUGGUGGGGUAACGGCUCACCAAGGCGACGAUCCGUAGCUGGUUUGAGAGGACGAGUAGCCACACUGGGACUGAGAGACGGGCCAGACUCCUACGGGAGGCAGCAGUGGGGAAUUUUGGACAAUGGGGGAAAGCCUGAUCCAGCCAUCCCGCGUGUGCGAUGAAGGCCUUCGGGUUGUAAAGCACUUUUGGCAGGAAGGCGGUACCAACAGAAUAAGCACCGGCUAACUACGUGCCAGCAGCCGCGGUAAUAC
rnacentral:rRNA from 1 species